GUUAGACUCAUAACAUGUGUGUAACCAGGUGAUAUAGUCAAACCUUAAAUAUACAAGAGAUUCAAGUUACAAAACCUCUAUUUGCACAAUUUUCUGCUGUAGCGAGAGUGCUGCAGGUGUUGAUUUUAGACAGCAGAGGGCAUAGCGUUGCUGACUCAAACAGCCGCAUGCUUGACAAGAGGUCAAGGGGCGCUGGGAAAAUACAGGAAGUAAACUGCGCUAUUUUGCAUGGACUGGCUGCUGCUGUUAUCGGAUAGCCGAUGCUUGUGGAAGAAACCCAACAUGUGGGCCACAAGAGCUCGUUAUCCGUGAGUUAGUUACUCAAGUGGAGCGACUGCAUCUUUGCUUCAGUUUACAUAAAAGUAGCAGCCCUGAAGAGCUUUCACGGUGACAGCAUUAUUGUCUCUGAUGAGGACUGCACCCCAGAGCCAAGCACAGACCGGGACAGACCCAGGGUCGAGGCGAAGCAGAGGGACGGCUGCCAGGGUCCAAGGAAGAAAAGGCAAGAUGGGGAGAACGAGGUGCAAGCCAAGCAGCACAUAUUCUGGAAGCUGCAUCGAGCUUCACACUCCAACAACAGCUUAUGAACAGGCCAGAAUCUGAGGACUGUGGACAACAUCCACUACUGUCACACUACUGUUUUUUCAUGCACCACACAUGGCUGAUCUUCCAGACCCAGGACAGAGUAACAGACAGUUCAGUCAGGCGGCAUACAGACAGUUUGUAGCAUGGCAACGUAGAGCACUAGGAUUGUCUCACAGAGUCGUGAUACUGCUAUCCUGAUCCACCAGGACAAUACAGAGGUUUAAUCCUAGCAGGAUGUAAGUUGUAACUUACUAACUGACACACAAAUAAUUCCAUCCACUGUGUGGAUGAAUACCUGUACAUUGUUUUAUU